rnacentral:tRNA from 1 species
GGGCAGGUGGCGGAGUGGUCAAACGCACCAGACUGUAAAUCUGGCGACUUAGGUCUACGGAGGUUCAAAUCCUUCCCUGCCCACCA